GUCCGCGCUGCGUGUAGGUGCUUCCUGGAGAGCGGGAGGAAAAGUGACUGAGUUCCUUGUUCUGCCGCGUCCUGCCCGGCUCUCCUCUGUAUCGCUCGAGGAGGAGGAGCCCCAACAGCCUGAGCUGGCCCCAGGGUCUGCGCCCCACCUUUGCGGGGGCGGGUGCUUGUUAGUGCUCUGAUACAGUUUUGGGGAGGCUGCCGGUGGGAAUAAGGGGGUGAGUGAAGCUGGAGGACGGUGUCGAACAGCCUGCACGUGUCACCUUCAAGCUGGUGGUCCAGCUGGGCAAAAAGCAACCAGCAGGUAUCAAGCUGCCCUUGAAUUCAUGGACCUAAGCAGGACCUGCUGGCGAAGGGCCACCUCAUUAGGGCUCAUGAUGUCUCGAAGGUCUGAGGUCAAUCUUUACUGACAUUGUCCUUAAGGUGGUGUUGCCAGAGGUGCAAGAGCUCCCAUUCCCUUCAGCCAGGCCACUGGUAAGGAUCUCAUGGAAUGUGGCACAUGAGAGGGGAGAGAAGUAGGGGACUGGGUGGUAUCAGAGGUGAUUCAGCAGGAGCACACUCUUUUCAGUCAUUGGGCGAACUAACCUGGCAUGACAUGUAGGGAAAAAAUUCUCGAAGGGUGUUUUGAAAGAUCAGUGCAUCAGCUUAUCGUUAGCAUGCUUAUCGUUCUCAUUGACCUGACAGUCAUGGGCAUUCCACAGGAUCCCCAGGAGCAUUGCAAGGUCCUGGUUUCUGUUGUCCUUCCUGUGUCAUGCACAAGUGACCCCGGCUACAGCCCCAGCAAAAUCAUCUGGGUGCUUGUGAGCAGGAAACCGUGCCAGUGUGAGCAGUAGGUCAGAGGAGCAAGAACUGAUCCCAAAUGGAAGAACCUCUUCAUAAUGGUGGGAUGACUCACACAACUGGAGUGCUGCAAGGGGUGCCUAUAAACUCUUCAGCCUGGAGAAAAGGAGACUUGGGGGAGAUUUUGCUGAUCUCUACAUAUUCUUAAAAGAAGGUUGUGGUGAGGUGGGGGUUGGCCUCUUCUCCCAGGUCGCAAGUGAUAGGACAAGAAGAAAGAGCCUCAAGUGCCAUUUUCCCAGGGGAGGUUUAGAGUAGGAAAAAUUCAUCACUGAAAGGGUCAGGCUCUGGAAUGGGCUGCCUGUGUGGAGUCACUAUCCUGGAAGUGUUCACAGAAUGUCUAAACGUGGCAUCUGGGGGCACAGUUUAGUGGUGAACACGGCAGUGCUGAGCUAACAGUUGAACUCAGUGUUCCUGAGGGUCUUUUCCUUAACCUUAACGAUUGUAUGGGUCUACAAUUCAAUAUUCUAUGUACCAGCAGUACAGGGGACAUUACACUAAAAAAAUAAUAAUAAUAAUAAAAAAUUAAAAAGAUGUGGUGAUUCCUGAAUCUUAAAUAUCUGCUAUGAUGGGAGAGACCAAGCAAGCACCUUUCUAUACACCUAUGUAGUUAAGGAAGGGAAGCAUUUCGAAAUGCUGAGAUUAGCUUAAGGCUUCCACAAGAAAGUACUUCUUUUUAGCACAGAGGAAAAGCCAACUGGUAUUAAGACCCACCCUACAAAGACUGACUUGCAAGUAAUUUUCCUUAGUUGUCCUCAGUAGUAAACUUCACUCUGAGGCAUUUCAGAGGAUUUAUGACAGCUGAGUCUAUCCCCCUUGUUUCAAAGCCUGUGGAGCAGCCUGUAAUUCCUUCCCCAUAGCACUACAAUGCCACUCCCAAGCCCCAUACAGCCUUGGCAGAGCCUGCUUUUGGAGUGACCACCACUCAUGAUGUUGUCACCAGACAAAGCUCCAACAAUACUCAACUGCAGAACUCAGUCUUCCUGCUCAGACGUAGAAAAUGAAACAAAAUCAAAUGGACAAGGACACGCUCCUUUGCUGUUCAAAGCAUGCAAAAGUAUAACCAGUCUUUCCAAAAGCCUGACUGAAAAUUUUCGCAAUUAUGAUCUGAUCAAGAGAAAACUUCUGAAAAUCUCAAAUGUUAGGAGAAGCUUGUAGAAACAAGAUGAAACACUUAUCAGUUCAUUACACGUUACUUUCUGCUAGUUAUCCAUAACUGCUGGAUAGUACAGGCUGGUAUUUUAACAAUUGCUUCCUCCUUUUUUGUCCA